AAUAAUCUGAUGGUCGAUAAAGAGAAUGGGACCGUGAUGGACCCUCAGCAAAAAGGUUUCACAGAGGAUAUUCUGCAACGACGUAAACAAUUACAAGGAGCUGCAAGGGAACAGAAGAAGCGGCGAGCUAAUACCGAUUUCGAGCAUCAACGUAAACUCAGUCAACGGGCAUCAAUUUUCGAUGUUUUACCAACGAAUGCAGGAGGUUCUAGCCCUCGCACUUCUCAUGCAAUAGAUACUGACGAUGAGGAAUCUACCAUGUUAGAAAAGAAACGACGAGGAGGAAAAGAAUUUGAGGAAAUUCUGCCCACGUCGUCGACGAUGACACCACUUCUCCGGAAAUCAUUUCCUAUUUCCGAGACUUUACCCAGACUUUGGAAAUUAUGGCAAACGAGGGACAUUAUAAAGCUUUUCAACGAAUAAAAAAGUUGUACGACGAAGCGCGCACGCCUUCUAUGAAUAAGAUGGAAAUCCAUCCUGGGACCGAAGUUUUCAUCCAUAGACGUGCAAUGACAGAAGCAAUGGAUGACUUUAAUGAUACAAUUGGAAGCAACUGGCAACUAAUGUUUUUGUUGAAAUUUAUGGAGAUACGUUGAGGCUUAUGUCAGUGACAGGAACGAAAGGCAAAAUCAAGAUGCAUACCAAAAUUUACAAGGCUGUCAAGGAAUUCGUCUAUGCGUAAGGAACCCCAGAUCAUCCAAUCAAGGUUACUGAUAAAGACUACAGUCAACACGUAAAUAAAAUUUGUACCAAUCGGAGAGACAGAAACAAGAGCCAACAGAGCAGGAGUAAAGAGAACAAGGGCAUAUUAAUAAGGAAGAGUCGAACCUCCAAUAAAAGAUCAGUACAGUUCCUGAAGACAACACAAACUCCCUCGAAUGCUGGAGGGGAAAGAGAAAAUCGAGGAGCCAGUGAACCUCUUUAAAACAGCCAGACAUCUGAGAUGGUACCAUCUGAACCCCCUCCUUCAGUUUCUAACGAUUCUGGAUGCAGCAGCAGUAACCCAUCGAAUGAUCAUUCUGUACCAUAUUCAUCAGAACAGAUUGACCGAAAUUCAAUGUCUCCAAUCCCUAAUUCAAUGCUUUCGACCGGAUUCAGAGGACAUGACAACAACAAUAAUCCCUACCAGCAGCAACACACUCCACUAUUUACACCGCUACAUCAGAAUCAAUCAGUUGCUGAGAAUUUUCAACAACCUUGGCAUCAUCAUCACAGAGGACAUUGGACUAAUUACAACAACUUUUAUCCAAUAAUGCAUGAGGGAUAUGAAUCGGAAAUUCCUCCAUUCUUGUUGCCACUGUAGAAAAAACGAUAUUCUUCAGUCAGUCAUGAUUAAUUCUUGAUAGUUCUUAA